UAGUAGGCAGGUUUGUUGCUUGCAGCAAACUUGUGGUUAUUGCCUGUAUUAUACCCUUGUCUCUCAACUACUAUUUGUUUCCUUGGUAAGCUUGCUUGCCAGAUGGACAAUACCAUAACCUUUAAAUUUUCAAUCAGCGUCUGAACAAAUGAAUAAUUACAACUUUCAACAACGGAUCUCUUGGUUCUGGCAUCGAUGAAGAACGCAGCGAAAUGCGAUAAGUAGUGUGAAUUGCAGAAUUCAGUGAAUCAUCGAAUCUUUGAACGCACAUUGCGCCCCUUGGUAUUCCAUGGGGCAUGCCUGUUCGAGCGUCAUUUGUACCUUCAAGCUAUGCUUGGUGUUGGGCGUUUGUCCUUGCUCUUGUAGAGUUGGACUCGCCUCAAAAUAAUUGGCAGCCAGUAUUUUGGUUUGGAGCGCAGCACAAGUCGCGAUUCAGCCGAAAUAAUAGCUUCCAUUAAGCUAAUUAUCACUUUUGACCU
rnacentral:rRNA from 1 species